ACAUUAAAAAGGGUAAUUAUUAAUAUAAUUUAUAUUGAAUUUAAAAAUUUAUUUUUAAAAAAAUAUUUUUUAGUUUUAAAUUAAAUAUUAUAAAUUUUAUUAAAUUUAGAAAAAAUUAUUUUUAUUAUAGUUUAUUAGUAUUGAAAAAUAAAAUUUUAUAAUUUUUAUAAGAAAAUUUAAAUUGUACCUUGUGUAUCAGGGUUUUUUAAUUAAAAUUUAAUUAUUAAAUUUUCUCGAAUUUAAAAGAGCUAAUUUAUUAUAAAUUUUAUUGUAAAAUUACUAUUUAUAAUAAUAAAUUAGUAAUGAAAUGUUAAACGUUUUUAAAUAUUUCUAGUUUAUUAAGAAAAAAAUUUAAUUUUAUUUUUUAAUAUAAAAUUUAUUUUUUUAAUUAAUUUUAAUUAAAAAUUAAAUAGUUUUAGGGAUAAGCUUAAAAUUAAAUUUUUAUAAUUAAUUUGUUAAAAAUAAUAUAUAGAAUUAAAAUUGUUUUUUAUUUAUAGUUUUUUAUAAGAAAUUAUUUUUUUUAUAUAAUUUUUACUUAAUUUAAUUUUUUUAUUAAUAAAAUUUAUUUAAUAAAAAAAUAUUUUUAAUAAUGAAAAAAUUAGUAUAAUUUUUUAUAAUUAAAUAUUUUUUUAAUAAAUAUUAUUAAGGAAUUCGGCAAAAUUUUUAUUCACCUGUUUAUUAAAAACAUCUUUUUUUGAAAAUAAUAUAAAAUAGGGCCUGCCCACUGAAAAUUUUGAAGGGCCGCAGUAUUUUGACUGUGCAAAGGUAGCAUAAUCAUUAGUUUUUUAAUUGAAAGCUGGAAUGAAUGGUUUAAUGAAAUAAAAUCUGUCUUAGUAAUAAAAAGAGAAUUUUAUUUUUAAGUUAAAAAGCUUAAAUUUUUGAAUUAGACGAGAAGACCCUUUAGAGUUUAAUUUAUAAAAAUAAUUAAUUUAAAGAAUUUAAUAAUUAAUUUUUUUUUAUAAAUUAUAUUGGGGUGAUAGUAAAAUUAAAUAAACUUUUAUUUUAUUUUAACAUAAGUUUAUGAAUUAUUGAUCCAUUAUUAUGAUUAAAAGAUUAAAUUACCUAAGGGAUAACAGCGUAAUUUUUUUUUAGAGUUCAAAUUAAGAAAAAAGAUUGCGACCUCGAUGUUGGAUUAAAAUUUAAUUUUGGUGUAGAAGCUAAAAUUUUAAGUCUGUUCGACUUUUAAAAUUUUACAUGAUCUGAGUUUAGACCGGUGUAAGCCAGGUCGGUUUCUAUCUUUUUAAAAAGAAAAUAUUUUAGUACGAAAGGACCAAAUAUUAAAUUUAAAAUUUAAUUUUUGAAUAAAAUUAUUGUUUUGGCAGAAUAGUGCAAUUGAUUUAGAAUCUUUAUAAGUAAUUUUUACAA
rnacentral:rRNA from 1 species